rnacentral:lncRNA from 1 species
UUGGGGAGCCCUGCCCCUCCUUAUAUAUGUUGAAGGGGCGGUUUACAUGACUCGUCCUAGUUGGAUUAGGAUUACUCUAUUACAAGUGGAGUCCUAGUCUUGCUUCCUUUAUAGGAGGAUACUCCUUAUGCUUUCCUCAUAAACCGGCCCACCAUUAAACGUGAACCGGCCUUCUGGGCCUUGGGCCUCAUCAUCCAUCUGACCCGCCCGCCGGGUUACGAAUGAACCGCCAAGACCUGGCGGGUAUCCCGUGAACCGCCAAGCUCCGGGCGGGUUACCAAUGAGUCGUCCAGUCCGGCCGGGUUAAACUUCCGGCCAGUUUACACCGCGGGGUAUAUCCCCGACAUUAGCCCCCAGUUUAAUUUGGAUUUAUCCAUGUUAAACUGAUCCUGUAAAAUAAACACAAGAACAAACUUGAUAGGUUGUGCUCCGGGUUAAGAAUUCUUGUAAACCGGCACCUGAUCAUCCUUAAGUCCUUGUCAUUUCCUCCUUCUAGAAAAUCCAGGUCAAUAAGCCAGCGUCAUACUCAAUUUUCUGACAUUGGUUUCUCACAGAACAAUAUUGUGAAGAAUAAUCCACUUGAGUCGGCUUCCAAAGCGCCGGUUUAAGAAAUAUUGGUCUUGAAAUAUUCAUCUGAUAUUCAGCCGGUUUGAAGAUGUAAAAAACUUGCCGGUUUAUGAUUACCACCUUUGUCGGGUUAUAAAAACUGAUACUUCCGAGUCAUGAUUGUUGCAGAUACUGAAUAUAAAUACUGCCACUUAAGAAGAAAUCCAUGUUGUUCAUCCCAGUCACUUAGUAAAACUGAAUACUCCAUAUUAUGUAGCCCCCAAGUGCCGGGUUGUUAUGCUUGCAGCAACCUGGGACUUGUAAUUUCCUGAUGCUCAUAAAAACUUCAACCAGUGUAGCCCCCAAGGGCCGGGUCAUUAUGCAAUAAUGAGCAGGGACUUUGAUAUAUACUUCAAUGAAAAUAACAUCAUAUGAUUUAACCCCAUCAUGGGGCUUGAAUUCACGUCCACAAGGUUAAGAGCCUUGUGCUUUACCAACUGAGCAGUGGACCCUUCAAUAUAAUGAAUAAAAAGCUUUGUACCUUGAAUUGUUUAACAGGAGCAAUUGGUAGCCCCCAAGGGCCGGCUCAUUAUAAUGUGAUGAGUCGGGUCUUCAAUAAGAUGAACAAAGAAUGACUUUGCAUUAGCCCCCAAGUGUCAUGGUGCAUGCUUGCAGCGACAUGAGACUUGCAUAUUUGAUGUAAUCUCAACUUCAAUAAUGUAGCCCCCAAGUGCCGGGUUGUAAGCCUGCAGCAACUCGGGACUAUUCCUUCAAUUGUAGAAUAAAAUCCAUAUCCAUUGAUAACAUAAUAUCCAUUGCGCUAAAGCAACUUUGAAAACCUUAAUCAUAAUAUUAAUAACCAUAACAAAAAUCCAGCCAUGUUGGCUAUUCAAGAUAAUAUAAUCCGGUAUGAAACCUUAUUCAUCCAAUAUCAUAAUGAAAAUUCAGCCAAGUUUGGCUAUUUGAAUAAUAUAACCCAAUCAUUUGUAAGCGCAUGAUUCCAAUGGCGCAAUCCAAAUAUAUACUGGCGACGUAUAGUCCAAAGCCAGGCCGGUUUAAUAAACACCGGAUAAUUUAUAAUCAUGCUUUAUUCAACCUGUUUCUGCAUACAACAAGUUUAAAGUGUCCUGGCGGUUUACCGCCGGACGGGUCAUAAUGCCCAACAUAUAACCCGGGUUUAUAACCAAGCUGCACUUAAGAAUAAUUAAAUAUGGAAUAUAUCAUACCUGUGACAUUGAAUGACAUCAUUGGUUUACCAACUUUUGUAGUAAGAGUGAUAACCCCAAUCUUGAGUAAUGAUAACUCCUUUCAUACUGUGCCGGUUGAUGAUAAACCGUACCGGGUUGUGAUAAACACCGGUUUAACCAUAUAUAAUACUGGCGACUCAUAGUCAAACCAGACUAGGCUGAUAGUCUCCGGAUUAUAACUUGAUCGUGUACUGACUGUUGGAGAACGUUGCAGAAAACAAAAAUUUUCCUACGGUUUCACCAAGAUCCAUCUAUGAGUUCAUCUAGCAAUGAGUCAUUAGAUGCAUCUACGUACCUUGUAGAUCGCGAGCGGAAGCGUUCAAAGAACGGGGAUGAUGUAGUCGAACACGACGUGAUUCGAAUCAGCGGAGAUCCUAGCACCGAACGGACGGCACCUCCGCGUUCAACACACGUACGGAACAGUCACGUCUCCUCCUUCUUGAUCCAGCAAGGGAGGGAGGAGAGGUUGAGGGAGAUGGCACCAGCAGCAGCACGACGGCGUGGUGUUGAUGGAGCUGCAGUACUCCGGCAGAGCUUCGCUAAGCACUAUGGAGGAGAAGGAGGUGUUGGAGAGGGAGAAGGAGGCAACCAAAGGCCAAGUUAUGAAGUCCCUCCUCUCCCCACUAUAUAUAGGAGGGCCAAGGGGGGGUGGCCGGCCCUAGGAGAUCCAAUCUCCUAGGGGGGGUGCGGCCAAGGGGAGGUUUCCCUCCCCCCAAGGCACCUAGGAGGUGCCUUCCACUAGUAGGACUCCCCCCCCCAUGGAAACCCUAGGUGCAUGGGCCUAGUGGGGCUGGUGCCCUUGGCCCAUGUAGGCCAAGGCGCACCCCCUACAGCACAUGUGCCCCCCCCGGGACAGGUGGACCCACCCGGUGGACCCCCGGGACCCUUCCGGUGGUCCCGGUACAAUACCGAUAACCCCGAAACUUGCCCCGAUGCCCGAAACAGGACUUCAGAUAUAUAAAUCUUUACCUCCGGACCAUUCCGGAACUCCUCGUGAUGUCCGGGAUCUCAUCCGGGACUCCGAACAACAUUUGGGUUACUGCAUAUACAUAUCCCUACAACCCUAGCGUAACCGAACUUUAAGUGUGUAGACCCUACGGGUUUGGGAGACAUGUAGACAUGACCGAGAUCGCUCUCCGGUCAAUAACCAACAGCGGGAUCUGGAUACCCAUGUUGGCUCCCACAUGCUCCACGAUGAUCUCAUCGGAUGAACCACGAUGUCGAGGAUUUAAUCAACCCCAUAUGGAAUUCCCUUUGUCAAUCGAUAUGUUACUUGCCCGAGAUUCGAUCGUUGGUAUCCCAAUACCUCGUUCAAUCUCGUUACCGGCAAGUCACUUUACUCGUACCGUAAUGCAUGAUCCUGUGACCAGACACUUGGUCACUUUGAGCUCAUUAUGAUGAUGCAUUACCGAGUGGGCCCAGUGAUAUCUCUCCGUUAUACGGAGUGACAAAUCCCAGUCUCGAUCCGUGUCAACCCAACAGACACUUUCGGAGAUACCUGUAAUGCACCUUUAUAGUCACCCAGUUACGUUGUGACGUUUGAUACACCCAAAGCACUCCUACGGUAUCCGGGAGUUACACGAUCUCAUGGUCAAAGGAAAAGAUACUUGACAUUAGAAAAGCUCUAGCAAACGAACUACACGAUCUCACGCUAUGCUUAGGAUUGGGUCUUGUCCAUCACAUCAUUAUCCUAAUGAUGUGAUCCCGUUAUCAAUGACAUCCAAUGUCCAUAGCCAGGAAACCAUGACUAUCUAUUGAUCAACGAGCUAGUCAACUAGAGGCUUACUAGGGACAUGUUGGUGUCUGUUAUUCACACAUGUAUUACGAUUUCCGGAUAAUACAAUUAUAGCAUGAAUAAAGACAAUUAUCAUGAACAAAGAAAUAUAAUAAUAAUGCUUUUAUUAUUGCCUCUAGGGCAUAUUUCCAACAGUCUCCCACUUGCACUAGAGUCAAUAAUCUAGUUACAUUGUGAUGAAUCGAACACCCAUGGAAUUCUGAUGUUGAUCAUGUUUUGCUCUAGGGAGAGGUUUAGUCAACGGAUCUGCUACAUUCAGGUCCGUAUGUACUUUACAAAUCUCUAUGUCUCCAUCUUGAACAUUUUCACGAAUGGAGUUGAAGCGACGCUUGAUGUGCCUUGUCUUCUUGUGAAACCUGGGCUCCUUGGCAAGUGCAAUAGCUCCAGUGUUGUCACAGAAGAGCUUGAUCGGCCCCGACGCAUUGGGUAUGACUCCUAGGUCAGUGAUGAACUCCUUCACCCAUAUUGCUUCAUGUGCUGCCUCCGAGGCUGCCAUGUACUCCGCUUCACAUGUAGAUCCCGCCACGACGCUCUGCUUGCAACUGCACCAGCUUACUGCCCCACCAUUCAAAAUAUACACGUAUCCGAUUUGUGACUUAGAGUCAUCCAGAUCUGUGUCGAAGCUAGCGUCGACGUAACCCUUUAUGACGAGCUCUUCGUCACCUCCAUAAACGAGAAACAUUUCCUUAGUCCUUUUCAGGUACUUUAGGAUAUUCUUGACCGCUGUCCAGUGUUCCUUGCCGGGAUUACUUUGGUACCUUCCUACCAAACUUACGACAAGGUUUACAUCAGGUUUGGUACACAGCAUGGCAUACAUAAUAGAACCUAUGGCUGAGGCAUAGGGGAUGACACUCAUCUCUUCUAUAUCUUCUGCCGUGGUCGGACAUUGAGCUGAGCUCAAUUUCACACCUUGCAAAACAGGCAAGAACCCUUUCUUGGACUGAUCCAUUUUGAACUUCUUCAAAAUCUUAUCAAGGUAUGUGCUUUGUGAAAGACCUAUGAUGCGUCUCGAUCUAUCCCUAUAGAUCUUGAUGCCUAAUAUAUAAGCAGCUUCUCCAAGGUCCUUCAUUGAAAAACUCUUAUUCAAGUAGGCCUUAAUGCUGUCCAAAAGUUCUAUAUCAUUUCCCAUCAAAAGUAUGUCAUCUACAUAUAGUAUGAGAAAUGCUAUAGAGCUCCCACUCACUUUCUUGUAAACACAGGCUUCUCCAUAAGUCUGUGUGAACCCAAACGCUUUGAUCAUCUCAUCAAAGCGAAUGUUCCAACUCCGAGAUGCUUGCACCAGCCCAUAAAUCGAGCGUUGGAGCUUGCACACCUUGUCAGCAUUCUUAGGAUCGACAAAACCUUCCGGCUGCAUCAUAUACAAUUCUUCCUUAAGGAAACCAUUACGGAAUGCCGUUUUGACUUCCAUUUGCCAAAUUUCAUAAUCAUAAAAUGCAGCAAUCGCUAACAUGAUUCGGACGGGCUUCAGCUUCGCUACCGGUGAGAAAGUCUCAUCGUAGUCAACCCCUUGAACUUGUCGAUAACCCUUAGCGACAAGCCGAGCUUUAUAGAUGGUCACAUUACCAUCCGCGUCUGUCUUCUUCUUAAAGAUCCAUUUAUUUUCUAUGGCUCGCCGUUCUACGGGCAAGUCAGUCAAAGUCCAUACUUCGGUUUCAUACAUGGAUCCUAUCUUGGAUUUCAUGGCUUCUAGCCAUUUGUCGGAAUCCGGGCCCGCCAUCGCUUCUUCAUAGUUCAAAGGUUCACUGUUGUCUAACAACAUGAUUUCCAAGACAGGGUUGCCGUACCACUCUGGUGCGGAACGUGUCCUUGUGGACCUUCGAAUUUCAGUAGGAGCUUGAUCAGAAGUAUCUUGAUCAUCAUCAUUAACUUCCUCUCUAGUCGGUGCAGGCACCUCAGGAACAUUUUCUUGAGUUGCGCCAUUUUCCGGUUCAAGAGGUAAUACUUCAUCAAGCUCUACUUUUCUCCCACUUACUUCUUUUGAGAGAAACUCUUUCUCCAGAAAGGACCCAUUCUUGGCAACAAAGAUCUUGCCUUCGGAUCUGAGGUAGAAGAUAUACCCAACAGUUUCUUUAGGGUAUCCUAUGAAGACGCAUUUUUCCGAUUUGGGUUCGAGCUUUUCAGGUUGAAGUUUCCUGACAUAAGCAUCGCAUCCCCAAACUUUUAGAAACGACAGCUUAGGUUUCUUCCCAGACCAUAAUUCAUACGGUGUCGUCUCAACGGAUUUCGACGGUGCCCUAUUUAAAGUGAAUGCGGCAGUCUCUAAAGCAUAGCCCCAAAAAGAUAGUGGUAAAUCGGCAAGAGACAUCAUAGAUCGCACCAUAUCUAAUAGAGUGCGAUUACGACGUUCGGACACACCAUUACGCUGAGGUGUUCCAGGCGGCGUGAGUUGUGAAACUAUUCCACAUUUUCUUAAGUGUGUACCAAACUCGUGACUCAAGUAUUCUCCUCCACGAUCUGAUCGUAGAAACUUGAUUUUCUUGUCACGCUGAUUCACUCUGAAAUUCCUUGAAAUUUUCAAAGGUCUCAGACUUGUGUUUCAUUAAGUAGACAUACCCAUAUCUACUCAAGUCAUCAGUGAGGGUGAGAACAUAACGAUAGCCACCGCGAGCCUCAACACUCAUUGGACCGCACACAUCAGUAUGUAUGAUUUUCAAUAAGUUGGUUGCUCGCUCCAUUGUUCCUGAGAAUGGAGUCUUGGUCAUUUUACCCAUGAGGCAUGGUUCGCACGUGUCAAAUGAUUCGUAAUCAAGAGACUCUAAAAGUCCAUCAGCAUGGAGCUUCUUCAUGCGUUUGACACCUAUGUGACCAAGGCGGCAGUGCCACAAGUAUGUGGGACUAUCACUAUCAAUCUUACAUCUUUUGGUACUUACACUAUGAAUAUGUGUAGCAUUACACUCGAGAUUCAUAAAGAAUAAACCAUUCACCAUCGGAGCAUGACCAUAAAACAUAUCUCUCAUAUAAAUAGAACAACCAUUAUUCUCGGAUUUAAAUGAGUAGCCAUCUCGAAUUAAACGAGAUCCUGAUACAAUGUUCAUGCUGAAACUUGGCACAAAAUAACAAUUAUUGAGGUUCAAAACUAAUCCCGUAGGUAAAUGUAGAGGUAGCGUGCCGACGGCGAUCACAUCGACCUUGGAACCAUUCCCGAUGCGCAUCGUCACCUCGUCCUUCGCCAGUCUCCGUUUAUUCCGCAGCUCCUGCUGUGUGUUACAAAUAUGAGCAACGGCACCGGUAUCAAAUACCCAGGAGUCACUACGAUUACUGGUAAGGUACACAUCAAUUACAUGUAUAUCAAAUAUACCUUUGGUGUUGCCGGCCUUCUUGUCCGCUAAGUAUUUGGGGCAAUUCCGCUUCCAGUGACCACUUCCCUUGCAAUAAAAGCAUUCAGUCUCGGGCUUGGGUCCAUUCUUUGGCUUCUUCCCGGCAGCUUGCUUGCUGGGCGCGGCAACUACCUUGCCGUCCUUCUUGAAGUUCUUUUUACCCUUGCCCUUCUUGAACUUAGUGGUUUUAUUGACCAUCAACACUUGAUGUUCCUUCUUGACUUCUACCUCUGCUGAUUUCAGCAUAGCAAAUAUUUCAGGAAUGGUCUUUUCCAUCCCCUGCAUAUUGAAGUUCAUCACAAAGCUCUUGUAGCUCGGUGGAAGCGACUGGAGGAUUCUGUCAAUGACCGCAUCAUCCGGGAGAUUAACUCCCAGCUGAGUCAAGCGGUUAUGUAACCCAGACAUAGUGAGUAUGUGCUCACUGACAGAACUAUUUUCCUCCAUCUUACAGCUGAAGAAUUUGUCGGAGACUUCAUAUCUCUCGACCCGGGCAUGAGCUUGGAAAACCAUUUUCAGCUCUUCGAACAUCUCAUAUGCUCCAUGUCUCUCAAAACGCUUUUGGAGCCCCGGCUCUAGGCUGUAAAGCAUGCCGCACUGAACGAGGGAGUAGUCAUCGGAACGUGCCUGCCAAGCGUUCAUAACGUCUUGUUCUGCAGGGAGAACAGGUGCAUCACCUAGCGGUGCUUGUAGGACUUAAUCUUUCUUGGCAGCUAUGAGGAUGAUCCUCAGGUUCCAGACCCAGUCCGUAUAGUUGCUGCCAUCGUCUUUCAGCUUGGUUUUCUCUAGGAACGCGUUGAAGUCGAGGACUACGUUGGCCAUUUGAUCUACAAGACAUAUUGUAAAACAUUUAGACUAAGUUCAUGAUAAUUAAGUUCAUCUAAUCAAAUUAUAAUGAACUCCCACUCAAAUUUGACAUCCCUUUGGUCAUCUAAGUGUUACACGAUCCGAGUCGACUAGGCCGUAUCCGAUCAUCACGUGAGACGGACUAGUCAUCGUCGGUGAACAUUCUCAUGUUGAUCGUAUCUUCCAUACGACUCGUGUUCGACCUUUCGGUCUCCGUGUUCCGAGGCCAUGUCUGUACAUGCUAGGCUCGUCAAGUUAACCCUAAGUGUUUUCGCUGUGUAAAACUGUCUUACACCCGUUGUAUGUGAACGUAAGAAUCUAUCACACCCGAUCAUCACGUGGUGCUUCGAAACGACGAACUGUAGCAACGGUGCACAGUUAGGGGAGAACACUUCUUGAAAUUUUGUAAGGGAUCAUCUUAUUUACUACCGUCGUCCUAAGUAAACAAGAUGCAUAAAACAUAAUAAACAUCACAUGCAAUUAUAUAAAGUAGUGACAUGAUAUGGCCAAUAUCAUAUAGCUCCUUUGAUCUUCAUCUUCGGGGAUCCAUGAUCAUCUUGUCACCGGCAUGACACCAUGAUCUCCAUCAUCAUGAUCUCCAUCAUCGUGUCUUCAUGAAGUUGUCACGCCAACGACUACUUCUACUUCUAUGACUAACGCGUUUAGUAAUAAAGUAAAGUAGUUUACAUGGCGUUCUUCAAUGACACGCAGGUCAUACAAAAAAUAAAGACAACUCCUAUGGCUCCUGCCGGUUGUCAUACUCAUCGACAUGCAAGUCGUGAUUCCUAUUACAAUAGCAUGAACAUCUCAUACAUGACAUAUAGAUCAUUCAUCAUUCAUCACAACUUUGGCCAUAUCAUAUCACAAAGCACUUGCUGCAAAAACAAGUUAGACGUUCUCUAAUUGUUGUUGCAAGUUUUACGUGGCUGAAGUAGGGUUCUAACAAGAACGUUUUCUUACCUACGUGAAAGCCACAACGUGAUUUGUCAACUUCUAUUUACCCUUCAUAAGGACCCUUUUCAUCGAAUCCGCUCCAACUAAAGUAGGAGAGACAGCCACCCGCCAGCCACCUUAUGCAACUAGUGCAUGUUAGUCGGUGGAACCGGUCUCACGUAAGCGUACGUGUAAGGUUGGUCCGGGCCGCUUCAUCCCACAAUACCGCUGAAGCAAGAUAAGACUAGUAGCGGCAAGAAAGUUGACAAAUCUACGCCCACAACAAAUUGUGUUCUACUCGUGCAAGAGAACUACGCAUAGACCUAGCUCAUGAUGCCACUGUUGGGGAACGUUGCAGAAAACAAAAAUUUUCCUACGGUUUCACCAAGAUCCAUCUAUGAGUUCAUCUAGCAACGAGUCAUUAGAUGCAUCUACGUACCUUGUAGAUUGCAAGCAGAAGCGUUCAAAGAACGGGGAUGAUGUAGUCGAACACGACGUGAUUCGAAUCACCGGAGAUCCUAGCACCGAACGGACGGCACCUCCGCGUUCAACACACGUACGGAACAGCCACGUCUCCUCCUUCUUGAUCCAGCAAGGGAGGGAGGAGAGGUUGAGGGAGAUGGCACCAGCAGCAGCACGCCGACGUGGUGUUGAUGGAGCUGCAGUACUCCGGCAAAGCUUCGCUAAGCACUAUGGAGGAGGAGAAGGUGUUGGAGAGGGAGAAGGAGGCAACCAAAGGCCAAGGUAUGAAGUCCCUCCUCUCCCCACUAUAUAUAGGAGGGACAAGGGGGGGUGGCCGGCCCUAGGAGAUCCAAUCUCCUAGGGGGAGUGCGGCCAAGGGGAGGUUUCCCUCCCCCCCAAGGCACCUAGGAGGUGCCUUCCACUAGUAGGACUCCUCCCCCAUGGAAACCCUAGGCGCAUGGGCCUACUGGGGCUGGUGCCCUUGGCCCAUGUAGGCCAAGGCGCACCCCCUACAGCCCAUGUGCCCUCCCGGGACAGGUGGACCCACCCGGUGGACCCCCGGGACCCUUCCGGUGGUCCCGGUACAAUACCGAUAACCCCGAAACUUGUCCCGAUGCCCGAAAUAGGACUUCCCAUAUAUAAAUCUUUACCUCCAGACCAUUCCGGAACUCCUCGUGACGUCCGGGAUCUCAUCCGGGACUCCGAACAACAGUCGGGUUACUGCAUAUACAUAUCCCUACAACCCUAGCGUAACCGAACCUUAAGUGUGUAGACCCUACGGGUUCGGGAGACAUGUAGACAUGACCGAGAUCGCUCUCCGGUCAAUAAACAACAGCGGGAUCUGGAUACCCAUGUUGGCUCCCACAUGCUCCACGAUGAUCUCAUCGGAUGAACCACGAUGUCGAGGAUUUAAUCAACCCCGUAUGCAAUUCCCUUUGUCAAUCGAUAUGUUACUUGCCCGAGAUUCGAUCGUCGGUAUCCCAAUACCUCGUUCAAUCUUGUUGCCGGCAAGUCACUUUACUCGUACCGUAAUGCAUGAUCCCGUGACCAGACACUUGGUCACUUUGAGCUCAUUAUGAUGAUGCAUUACCGAGUGGGCCCAGUGAUAUCUCUCCGUUAUACGGAGUGACAAAUCCCAGUCUCGAUCCGUGUCAACCCAACAGACACUUUCAGAGAUACCUGUAAUGCACCUUUAUAGUCACCCAGUUACGUUGUGACGUUUGAUACACCCAAAGCACUCCUACGGUAUCCGGGAGUUACACGAUCUCAUGGUCAAAGGAAAAGAUACUUGACAUUAGAAAAGCUCUAGCAAACGAACUACACGAUCUCACGCUAUGCUAGGAUUGGGUCUUGUCCAUCACAUCAUUAUCCUAAUGAUGUGAUCCCGUUAUCAAUGACAUCCAAUGUCCAUAGCCAGGAAACCAUGACUAUCUAUUGAUCAACGAGCUAGUCAACUAGAGGCUUACUAGGGACAUGUUGGUGUCUGUUAUUCACACAUGUAUUACGAUUUCCGGAUAAUACAAUUAUAGCAUGAAUAAAGACAAUUAUCAUGAACAAAGAAAUAUAAUAAUAAUGCUUUUAUUAUUGCCUCUAGGGCAUAUUUCCAACACUGACAACAUGUAUUUGAAAGCCGAGCCGGGUUGAUAAACUCCAUAAUAAGAUGGUAACAUAAAAUCAAAAAAUCAAACCGGGCAAAUAGUCUCCGGAUUAAGAAUUGACCGUGUUCCGUCAAUUGACAGUCGAAUCGGUUUGUGAAUUUUGUCAGUUUAAGAACGCAACAAAGAAGAAAUAUUUAUUAAAGAAAAUUUCAAGCAAAGACAAUGAUAAAACCGUUUGCAAAAAACAUGCUAUACUGAGCUGAUCAGAUGGUGUUACCAUGGUCGGACAGGACCAAGCCCCCAAUUGGAGUGACAAUGGUUCAAGUCAGCCAGGUCCCCAAAUGAAACCGUGGCAUAUAUGCCAAUCAAAAGGCGUGGCAAUGGUUCGGGUUCGACCAAGCCCCCAAGUGAUUUUGUGGCCUUAGGCCGAUCAAGAGGCGUGACUGGUUCAGACUUGACCAUGUCCCCAAGUGAUCUGGUGGCUUUCGCCUAUCAAAAGGCGUCGCGUUGGUUCGGAUACGACCAAGGCCCCAAGUGAUAUGAAAAGCAAAUUUCAAGGGGUAAACCGGAGGCCGCUUUAAGACAGAACCUCCGUGUAACCACGCAUGAUGUAAAAAAGAACAGAGACCCCGCUUUAUGAAGCAGAAGCCCCCAUGUGAUCAAUAAUAUGUUAGGCCAAUAAGGCAUGAUAAUCAUGUUUGAACCGCGCAUCAUGGUAGCAGGUCCUCUUCGGUACCCUUUAACUUUUUGCAAGAGAUAAAUCCUUCUUGAACCGGAAUUGUAAACCGGAUAUUGAGAGCUUCAAAGCUUUGUGGGAGAACAAAUUUCCCUUAAACUGGAUUGCAAACCGGAAUCUUCAUUUUCAGCCGGAAAUUUUCUGAUGGCCUUUCAACUCGAACUUGUGAGAAGUUAAUUCCUUUUUGAACCGGACAUUUUCAAACCAGAUCUGAGAGCUUCAGAGCUUUGUGGGAGAAUAGAUUUCCCUUGAACCGGAUUGUAAACCGGAUAUUUGAGAGCUUCAGUGAGACUGACUUCCCUUGAACCGGAUUUUAAACCGGAAUCCUUUCUGAUGACCCGGAACUUCUUCAUUGAGCCGGGAUUUUGUAACUGUCAUAUACUUUCUAAGCCGGAAAUUUUCUGACGGCCUUCAAAUAACAGUAGCCUCUGGGACCGGGUUAUCUUUCCCUCCAUUGUCCUGGGGUUCUUAAAUUUGCUGAAACUGGCAAGAUUUGCUGAGUCAUGUCAUCGUAGCCCCUGAGUCUCAAGGUGACUCGAGGAGUUGGCUUGAAACUCUCCAUAUUUGACCGUGAUAUAAACCGGCAUAACUUGUAUAUCAUUGGUGUUGGUAGCACGAUGUGAAUCCACAGAAGGUUGAGGUGGUUGCGGUGGGUUAUAAAUGAUCCCGUAUGAGCCGUGUCAGCAACUCGGCCAAUGGUUCCUUCCAACUGGUGAUUUGAAGUUAACCAAACUGUAGUGGCGGCGACUUGUGCGCCUGCCCAUUGAGCCAUCCAGUGCAGACAGCGGUUGAUAAUAUAUGAUAAUUUGCCUCCAUUUUGCUUGAAAGAAAACCGGGCUUCCCAAAUAGUGACUUGCUCAUACUCAGUAAACAGCUCAUGCAAACAGGUGCGGCCCGAUGUGUUGGUGUAGACCAGGCCGCGAGAGGCGGACGAAAAGGACGACCUCAGCAUCAGAGGCCGCUCAGAUAGAUGAACCGGCCGCGGUGUUGUAAACCGGCGCAGGCGAGUCAACCACGUCGUUUUGAUGUAGUGAACAAUUGUCCUGCAUCAACAAUAUUGCAGACCAAGGCAAAGAUAAACUGCUCUUUGACAAAACUAAUAUGUACCCAUAAAAUAUAUUUAAAAUAGAUAUCACCUGAUGUGUCAGGCCAGAAAUAAUCCGCCAUGAAGUUGAUGAUCACUAGGUUAAGUUGAAAUCACUCACGGGUGAACCGGCCGUGGCGUGCUAAACCGGUGCGGACGGGUGAGUCGGCCGUGACGUUUGUAAGCUGGCGCGGACACGCGAGUUGUCCAUGGCGUUGUAAGACAGUGUGGACGGGUGAGUCGGCCGACGCAUUGAUGUAAACCGGACUGCGAUACGCGUGUCCGUGAAGCUGCGCGGCACAGCCGAACGUGCAUCCGUGGUAUAAUGACAUAAACAAUUGUCCUGUGUAAAAAUGUUACAGGGCAAAAUAAUUGUUCUUUGACAGAAGACAAUAAGUGUUUAAUAAGAUAAAUUUAGACAAAUAUCACCUGAUGUUUGCGAAUGACUGAUGAUCUGUAUGCCGCAUCAGAGGCGGCUCAAUAUAAUCUUUGGCGGUUCAGGCAGAUCGGUGACUCCCAGCAACUCAACACAACAGAGGCAGCUCAACGUGGCCCCGACGGUUUAACGCGGCGACGACAACGACGUCGGGAUGAAGCCUUUUUCAGAAUUGUUUUUGUACUGACACCUUUUUUGUUCGAAGGGCAGCCAACGACCCGGCAUCACCAACAAUGAUUUAGUCUCAGACCCUUCUUAAUUAACACAGCACAAGUGUCGUCGUUGGUCUUGAGCCUUUGGAACUUGGCAUUCAACUUGUGCAGCACCUUACUAGGAGACUCCUUAAAAAUCUGUGCAAACAGGCCGACGAUUCAAAGGCUGCAGCGGUAGCUCAAGCAACAGCGUGCCGCGACAGCAGCUCGGAAGGAAACUGCGGCAAAAGGCGGCUCAGAUCAGGGUCAGAGUGGCGGCUCCGGGCGAUGUGGCACAGCCGCGGGUGAGGUGAGAUGCCGGCGCAGUGGUGGCUCGUGAGCAGACUUGCGGGCGAGGCACAGGCCGAGACCAGCUUGGCGCGGCUGUUGCGGCCAGCAGCUUGCGGCAGAGGCAGAGGCGAGUCAACGAUCAAGCCCAAGUCCGCGGAGACGUCUGCUUCCGAGUCGUGGCUGAAUGAAUUUGCUCACGUCCGUGUCGUCCUCCAAGUUGUUGCCUUCUCUCCUUCGUAGAUCAGAUAGUCGCUGACCAUUAGUUCUAUUUUCCCGUGCUGAUGGAUCAGCGGAUAGAUUACUUUUUCCACACUAAGUUUUGAACACCAAGGCUAUGAGUUGAUCUUUCUGGAUUUAUAAACAACAUAACAGUGUAUAUGCAACCAAAUUUUGACCGUCCCGAUGGUUUGGCAAUCCUGACGGCGGUUUGAUCGGUGUGGGCGACUCAGCAAUGAAGCAGAAUCCAGGUCGUGACUAAAUCUUGAAUCUGGGUCGAGGCCGUUCCCCUUGCUAAUUGAAAAACUUGAACCAAUACUACUAUGUAGUAGCUUCACGUAAUAGUACUACUUGCUGGUUUGGUCAAAGCAAUGAUUAAAAAACGAAUUCUGAACCUUGCUCGAGUAGAACCAUAAGAGCAAGUACAAUAAGGUGAUGUAGGCGGGCUGUAAUACAUUAAAUAUUAUAUUUUUGCUUACUUGGAAGAGAGAGAAGCGGAGAGAGAAGAGAAGCGGGCUACAAGUUAACAGCCGGCUGCAGCACGUGCUCCUAGAUACUUUGUGAGAGAGUGGGGUGGGCCAUGUAUCAACAAAGUAGUACAUAUUUAUAUCUAGCUAUUGUACUUGUUAGCUAUAAGCUUGGCUAUAUGUGACAUGUCAACGUCGUAUGCCAGCAGCUGGCUAUAUUAUUAACCAUGCUCUAAUAGUAUAUUCCAAACGAGAGCAGCUUUCCCUUAAUCAUUGGUAGCCCCGCCAUGUAAUAAUUGUUUAAUUCCUUAGAUCACUGCGGCUGGGUUAAACAUCAAUCCGUACUAAUGUGGACGCGAAAAAGAGUAGGCAUAUGAUACGGAUAGUGUAAUACAUCUUGUCCGGUCCGUCUGCAGUGGGCAAAACGACCUGUGCUCGGAUUCGAUGGGUCGCCACGCAACGCGUGAGGCGCCGCACGCAAACCCUAACAUCUUUACAAAUCUCGUAUCCGCUGGUUCCCAAAGCCUUAACCAUAAUUCUGAUCUUCCAACAAAAAUUUGCCGGCUCUUCUGCGUGGUUGCUCCACGCCGAUUCUUUUUUCAUCUGAUCAAUCGCGAGCUUCUUGAUUCCGGAAUUAGGUCCCUCCAAGAACUCAACACCACCGUGCGCAGGCCCCACGGUGGGCACCAACUGUCGUGGAUUUGUCACGGCAGAUGUCCUUAGUGUCAGGACUUAGUCGCGAGGCCAACGCAUCUAUGUGGUAGCUUGAGAGGGGUUGAGUGGGACGAGAGACGCAGGGCGGAUCAACACGCAAGACAAGGGUUUAGACAGCUUCGGGCCCCGGGAAACAUCAUCCGGUAACAACCCUACAUGCUGUUUGAGGCUAGAUCUCAUUAUGCUCAUGGGGAGUCGCCGGUAAGCUGGCUCUCCUAAUUGUGUCUAGCCCUAGAGAUUAUUGCUUGUUGCCUCUCUCUCUUUGGGGAGCCCUGCCCCUCCUUAUAUAUGUUGAAGGGGCGGUUUACAUGACCCGUCCUAGUUGGAUUAGGAUUACUCUAUUACAAGUGGAGUCCUAGUCUUGCUUCCUUUAUAGGAGAAUAGUCCUUAUGCUUUCCUCAUAAACCGGCCCACCAUUAAACGUGAACCGGCCUUCUGGGCCUUGGGCCUCAUCAUCCAUCUGACCCGCCCGCCGGGUUACGAAUGAACCGCUAAGACCGGGCGGGUAUCCCGUGAACCGCCAAGCUCCGGGCGGGUUACCAAUGAGUCGUCCAGUCCGGCCGGGUUAAACUUCCGGCCGGUUUACACCGCGGGGUAUAUCCCCGACA